rnacentral:rRNA from 1 species
UGAACGCUGGCGGCGUGCUUAACACAUGCAAGUCGAACGGAAAGGCCCUGCUUGCAGGGUACUCGAGUGGCGAACGGGUGAGUAACACGUGGGUGAUCUGCCCUGUACUUUGGGAUAAGCCUGGGAAACUGGGUCUAAUACCGAAUAUGACCACUUCUUGGAUGGGGUGGUGGAAAGCUUUUGCGGUAUGGGAUGAGCUCGCGGCCUAUCAGCUUGUUGGCGGAGUAAAAGCCCACCAAGGCGACGAUCGGUAGCUGGUCUGAGAGUACGAUCAGCCACACUGGGACUGAGACACGGCCCAGACUCCUACGGGAGGCAGCAGUGGGGAAUUUUCCGCAAUGGGCGAAAGCCUGACGGAGCAAGACCGCGUGGGG